AGUGAACGCUGGCGGUAGGCCUAACACAUGCAAGUCGAACGGCAGCACAGUAAGAGCUUGCUCUUACGGGUGGCGAGUGGCGGACGGGUGAGGAAUACAUCGGAAUCUACUUUUUCGUGGGGGAUAACGUAGGGAAACUUACGCUAAUACCGCAUACGACCUACGGGUGAAAGCAGGGGAUCUUCGGACCUUGCGCGAUUGAAUGAGCCGAUGUCGGAUUAGCUAGUUGGCGGGGUAAAGGCCCACCAAGGCGACGAUCCGUAGCUGGUCUGAGAGGAUGAACCGCCACACUGGAACUGAGGAACGGUCCCGAAUCCUACGGGAGGCAGCAGUGGGGAAUUUUUGAACAUGGGCGGAAGCCUGAUCCAGCCAUACCGCGUGGGUGAAGAAGGCCUUCGGGUUGUAAAGCCCUUUUGUUGGGAAAGAAAAGCAGCAGGUUAAUACCCCGCUGUUCUGACGGUACCCAAAGAAUAAGCACCGGCUAACUUCGUG
rnacentral:rRNA from 1 species